AUUGAACGCUGGCGGCAGGCCUAACACAUGCAAGUCGAAUGGUAACAGGAAACAGCUUGCUGUUUCGCUGACUAGUGGCGGACGGGUGAGUAAUGUCUGGGAAACUGCCUGAUGGAGGGGGAUAACUACUGGAAACGGUAGCUAAUACCGCAUAACGUCGCAAGACCAAAGAGGGGGACCUUCGGGCCUCUUGCCAUCAGAUGUGCCCAGAUGGGAUUAGCUAGUAGGUGGGGUAACGGCUCACCUAGGCGACGAUCCCUAGCUGGUCUGAGAGGAUGACCAGCCACACUGGAACUGAGACACGGUCCAGACUCCUACGGGAGGCAGCAGUGGGGAAUAUUGCACAAUGGGCGCAAGCCUGAUGCAGCCAUGCCGCGUGUAUGAAGAAGGCCUUCGGGUUGUAAAGUACUUUCAGCGGGGAGGAAGGGAGUAAAGUUAAUACCUUUGCUCAUUGACGUUACCCGCAGAAGAAGCACCGGCUAACUCCGUG
rnacentral:rRNA from 1 species